GGCAAGUCUGGUGCCAGCAGCCGCGGUAACUCCAGCUCCAAUAGCGUAUAUUAAAGUUGCUGCAGUUAAAAAGCUCGUAGUUGGAUCUCGGUAUCACUGUUGCCUGUCAGUCUUGUGCAGUAUGGCUACUGGUGCAUGGGAAUGCCUGUGUUGCCGUAGCCGGCUGUUGCGAGCUGGCGUGGUGUCGGUGUCACCUUUCAGCCAUGUCUGUGGUGAAAUACCCGCAGGUGUAGGCGAGUGUCAGGCGGCGCCCUGCGACAGCAAGGUCCGUCGGCUCGUUUGCAUGCCUGUGGAUGCCCUUUAAAAGGUGUCCAUGGGCGGAUGGCACGUUUACUUUGAACAAAUUUGAGUGCUCAAACCAGGCCGAUGUUGCCUGAAAAGUUUUGCAUGGAAUAAUGGAAUAGGACUUCGGUUCUAUUUCGUUGGUUUUCGGAUCCGGAGUAAUGAUCAAAAGAGACAGGCGGGGACGUUUGUAUGGCUGCGCUAGAGGUGAAAUUCAUGGACCGCAGGCAGACAAACUAAAGCGAAAGCAUUCGUCAAGCAUGUUUUCAUUGACCAUGAGCGAAAGUCAGAGGCUCGAAGACGAUCAGAUACCGUCCUAGUUCUGACCAUAAACGAUGCCAACUGACGAUCCGUGGUGGUAGUAUUUAAACCUUCCCCACGGGCAGUCCCCGGGAAACCAUUAAGUCUUUGGGUUCCGGGGGAAGUAUGGUUGCAAAGCUGAAACUUAAAGGAAUUGACGGAAGGGCACCACCAGGAGUGGAGCCUGCGGCUUAAUUUGACUCAACACGGGAAAACUCACCCGGCCCGGACACUGUGAGGAUUGACAGAUUGAGAGCUCUUUCUUGAUUCAGUGGUUGGUGGUGCAUGGCCGUUCUUAGUUGGUGGAGCGAUUUGUCUGGUUAAUUCCGAUAACGAACGAGACUCCAGCCUGCUAAUUAGUGCAUCUGUCCACUGUUCCUGUGUAGGCGGCGUUCGACAAGGCUGCUUGCUGCUUAUGGGGUUGGCUUUCGGGUUGGCCCUGUGGGUGGUAGGUGGUUAGCUCAGCGUUAGCUUCCGGGUACGGCGCGGAUGUAUACUUCUUAGAGGGACACGCGGGAGAAGCCGCACGAAAUUGAGCAAUAACAGGUCUGUGAUGCCCUUAGAUGUCCGGGGCCGCACGCGCGCUACAAUGACGGUGCCAACGAGUCUGACCUUCUGGCCCGAAAGGGUUGGGCAAACUGGUCAAUCACCGUCAUGACAGGGAUCGGGGCUUGGAAUUGUUCCCCGUGAACGAGGAAUUCCUAGUAAGUGCAAGUCAUAAGCUUGCGCUGAUUACGUCCCUGCCCUUUGUACACACCGCCCGUCGCUACUACCGAUUGAAUGG
rnacentral:rRNA from 1 species